rnacentral:lncRNA from 10 species
GAGGGGGGAUUGUAACUCAGGCUCCCUCCUCUACAUCAGCCAGACACUUCUACCGAGCACCAAGGACCAAAGCUCUGUGCCAGGCAGCUGGGGACCCAAGGACACUAGGAGGAAUAAAUCAGGGUGGGCGCUGGCCCUCAGGGAGCUUCUGUCUUGCUGAGGAGACAACACCAGCCAGCACUCAGCCAUCUUAAUUAAUUAUUUUAUUUUUUUCUUUACUUUUCUGUUUUUUAGACAGGGUCUCACUCUGUUGCCCAGGCUGUCAGGCUGGAGUACAGUAGUGUGAUCACAGCUCACUGCAACUUCCGUCUCCGGGGCUCAAGCAAUCCUCCCUCCCACCUAAGCCUCCUGAACAGCUGGGACUACAAGCACACACCACCACACCUGGCUAAUUUU